rnacentral:lncRNA from 1 species
CGACCAAUGGGGACAGCCGGAGCCAAGGGGCUCUCAGGGCAGCAGGAGGGCCGUGCAGGGCCACCAUCGUGUCAGCAGCACCGUGACCAUGGCUCACGACGUGGGGACGGGCAUUCGUGCCGCUUCCUCAGAAUAUUAACGACGGUCCCGGCAGAAUGCUGUAUGAAUAUUCAUAUGGAGAUCAAUCAAGCCUGGGCUGGCGGAUGGCACAGGGAGAGGGGCCCAGGUCCCAGCGGGCACACCUUGGCAGGGUGUGGCUGUAAGUCUCUGCCAGCUCCAGUCAGGAUCUGCCUCCCUUGGGAUGGGACAGGCCUGGGCCUGUUGUAUGGCCACAGGCAGAAGAGGCUGAUGGGUGACAUGACAUCACCACUUAGUGACUGCUCUCGUCCUGGGAGCCCAGAUGCUAGGGCGGGGCUCCUUCCCGGAAGACCCAGAGAAGUUCAUCUCAGGUUUAACGGGGGCACUGCUGCUUCAGACGCCAGGCAGUGGGUGGUGAGGUCCCUGUCCUCACUGGGGUCUGCAGCCGAGGACUGGCCACCGAGGCCCAGGCCAGGCAUGGGGAUGCUGGGUGGCCAGGGCCAGUCCUCGAGGGAACCCCUAGCACCUUGGGCCUGCCCCCAGCUCUCACGGCAGGAGAGGUUUCUUCCCACUCUGGUGACUGACGGCCUGGUGAAGGGAUUCACAGGACGGGAGCACAGUGGCUGGCGCCCUGGUGAAGGGAUUCACAGGACGGGAGCACGUGGGUUUCCAGUUCUUCCCAGCGGGCGCACGCAGGCCGGCACCCUCUCCCUCGCCUUUGG